rnacentral:rRNA from 1 species
UACGUAGGGGGCGAGCGUUGUCCGGAUUUAUUGGGCGUAAAGAGCUCGUAGGCGGUUUGGUAAGUUGGAUGUGAAAUCUCCAGGCUCAACUUGGAGGGGUCAUUCGAUACUGCCAUGACUAGAGUUCGGUAGGGGAGUGUGGAAUUCCUGGUGGAGCGGUGAAAUGCGCAGAUAUCAGGAGGAACACCGGUGGCGAAGGCGGCAUCCUGGACCGGUAUUGACGCUGAGGCGCGAAAGCCAGGGGAGCAAACGGG